rnacentral:rRNA from 1 species
UACGAAGGGGGCUAGCGUUGCUCGGAAUCACUGGGCGUAAAGGGCGCGUAGGCGGCCGAUUAAGUCGGGGGUGAAAGCCUGUGGCUCAACCACAGAAUUGCCUCGAUACUGGUUGGCUUGAGACCGGAAGAGGACAGCGGAACUGCGAGUGUAGAGGUGAAAUUCGUAGAUAUUCGGAAGAACACCAGUGGCGAAGGCGGCUCACUGGCCCGGUACUGACGCUGAGGUGCGAAAGCGUGGGGAGCAAACAGG